rnacentral:tRNA from 1 species
GCGUUAAAAGGACGCGCUACUUUGAGGGGGUAGUGAACGUAAGUUCGUAUGGGUUCAAGUCCCAUCGACCGCACCA